GGGGAAUUUUGGACAAUGGGCGCAAGCCUGAUCCAGCAAUGCCGCGUGAGUGAAGAAGGCCUUCGGGUUGUAAAGCUCUUUUGUCAGGGAAGAAACGGGAUUGGCUAAUAUCCAGUCCUAAUGACGGUACCUGAAGAAUAAGCACCGGCUAACUACGUGCCAGCAGCCGCGGUAAUACGUAGGGUGCAAGCGUUAAUCGGAAUUACUGGGCGUAAAGCGUGCGCAGGCGGUUUUGUAAGUCUGACGUGAAAUCCCCGGGCUCAACCUGGGAAUUGCGUUGGAGACUGCAAGGCUAGAAUCUGGCAGAGGGGGGUAGAAUUCCACGUGUAGCAGUGAAAUGCGUAGAGAUGUGGAGGAACACCGAUGGCGAAGGCAGCCCCCUGGGUCAAGAUUGACGCUCAUGCACGAAAGCGUGGGGAGCAAACAGGAUUAGAUACCCUGGUAGUCCACGCCCUAAACGAUGUCUACUAGUUGUCGGGUUUUAAUUAACUUGGUAACGCAGCUAACGCGUGAAGUAGACCGCCUGGGGAGUACGGUCGCAAGAUUA
rnacentral:rRNA from 1 species